rnacentral:rRNA from 1 species
UACAGAGGUCCCAAGCGUUGUUCGGAUUCACUGGGCGUAAAGGGUGCGUAGGCGGUUGGGUAAGUCUGAUGUGAAAUCUCACAGCUUAACUGUGAAACUGCAUUGGAUACUAUCCGGCUAGAGGAAUGGAGGGGAGACUGGAAUACUUGGUGUAGCAGUGAAAUGCGUAGAUAUCAAGUGGAACACCAGUGGCGAAGGCGAGUCUCUGGACAGUUCCUGACACUGAGGCACGAAGGCCAGGGGAGCAAACGGG